rnacentral:lncRNA from 1 species
GGCAUGUGGAGGUUCCCAGGCUAGGGGUUGAACUGGAGCUGUAGCUACUACCCUACGCCACAGCAACAUGGGAUCCAAGCCACGUCUGUGACCUACACCACAGCUCACGGCAACGCGGGAUCCUUAACCCACUGAGCAAGGCCAGGGACUGAACCCACAACCUCAUGGUUUGUAGUUGGAUUCAUUAACCAUUGAGCCACGACAGGAACUCCAUAUAUUUGCUUUUUCUUAUAUGUUGCAAUGUGGCUAUACCAUGAGGUCAUAUUAAGCAAAUUUCUCAUUAUAUAUAUAUACACACAUAUUUAUACAUAUAUAUAAUAUGUAAAAAUUAUGUUUGUUGAUUAAUGUUACAAACAUAGUUUGUAACUUAUUACAACUAUGUAGUUUCUAUCUUACUGGAAACUAUCCAAAUAGCCAAAGAUUAUUCAUUAAUUAACUCAUUACCAUCUUAAAUUCUUAUGGUUAACAAAAGAUUUUGAAAGUUAAGUGUAAGUUGAUGUACUAUUAUAGAAUACAAUCACUGUUGGAUAUUAAACAAUCAUCAGAUUUAUAACUGUUUAAUGAAAUGCAUAAUUUUAUGUUUUUCAUAACCCCCAAUUUUAUGUGAAAUAUGUUGGCUUGUCUGAUCAGUAAACCCAUAUAAGAAUUUUGAGGAAUGAAGAUGAAAUUGUUUAUUCAUGAGAAAAAAAAUAGAGGUCUGUCGUGAAAUGUUUUCUUGUAUUAUAUUCUAUAUAGUUAAGGUCAGGGAGAAGACAUAUAGCUGCUUUUAAACCAGAGAGAUCAAACAAGUCUAACAUGUCUAAGGAUUUACUUUUUUGUGUGUGUCUAUUUGUCUUUUUAGGGCCGCAUCCACGGCAUAUGGAGAUUCCCAGGGUAGGGGUCCAAUUGGACCUGCAGCCGCCGGCUUACACCACAGCCACAGCCACCACAGAACCGAGCUGUGUCUGCGACCUGCAACACAGUUCAUGGCAACGCCAGAUCUUUAGCCCACUGAUCGAGGCCAACGAUUGAACCUGCAUCCUCAUGGAUCCUAGUUGGGUUCGUUAACUGCUGAGCCACGACGGACCUCCCAAGGAUUCACUUUGGUUAAAUAAACUUGGGUUUUUAUAUAAAAAUGCUUCUGAGCUAGAAGUUUUCAUGCUAGCUGGUGGUUGGUUUGUGGAUUUGGGGGAUGAGUGAUAGCACAUUUAAAGUAUUAGAAGUUUAGUUUACUUUCCAGGAAUUCUAGUAACAUUAGAUUUAUGUAAGAGCUUAUUGUUACUUAUAACACAAUCAGAACAGAGCUGCCUUAUGAGCUUUUAUAAUCUAUUUUAUUAAUACUUGCCAGGUGUAGUUACAUAUUUCAAAGUCAGGCAACAGGAGGAAAAGGUUUUCUUAAUUACAAACAGCUGGACAAACGGCUUGAUCCCUCAGUUCUACAAUUUCAGCCGUAAGUCAGAAGUGAACUCAUUAUCACAAAAAGCAAAGGACCCAGAUUGCAAAGAGUUGUUUCCCUGUACGGUGGGACUUUUAAAAAUUGACUUGAGCUUGCAAAGGCACAAAAAUAUAACAAACCAGAGUUUCUGCAUUUUCCCUGAUCCUCAUCUUCCAUGUAAGGAUCGUGGUGGUACGGAUCCCCAAACUGCCAAAAUGUUAUCUUUAAAAUGUUAAAAAUAUGACUCUUUGUUGUUGUUGUUGUUGUUGCUAUUUCUUGGGCCGCUCCCGCGGCAUAUGGAGGUUCCCAGGCUAGGGGUCGAAUCGGAGCUGUAGCCACAGGCCUACGCCAGAGCCACAGCAACGCGGGAUCCGAGCCGCGUCUGCAACCUACACCACAGCUCACGGCAACGCCGGAUCGUUAACCCACUGAGCAAGGGCAGGGACCGAACCCGCAACCUCAUGGUUCCUAGUCGGAUUCGUUAACCACUGCGCCACGACGGGAACUCCUAAAAAUAUGACUCUUAUACAGAUACAGAAUAAACGCAUGUUAAAGGUUAAUUUUUUGAGGAGGGAACCAGGCAAGUGGUAAAGCUGCUUCACAAUGCACUUGGAGAUUUCAAGGCAGGGGAAAAAAAAUAAAAAAGAUGGCCAGGUUAGAUAAAAAAUUGUUUUCUAUCCAACAAUGCAAUUAAAGUAUAACCUUUGGGGUUAUUUUUUUCUUCUGCACAGAAAUUGUUUAAUUUCUAUCAGACAAAAAUCUGAUAGUUACCAUGUAACUUCAUAGCAUCUGAACCCUAAUCAGCAGUAAAAUGGAAUGACAUUUAAAGAUACAGUCCCAUGGAGAAUUAAAUAAUCCCUGCAUGGGUCUAUCAAAUCAUGAUUUAAUAUGACAUUGAAUUAGGACAAGCAGCCUUCCUUUUCUCUCAUUUCCAAGUUUUUGUUAAUUUUCUUAACACAAGAUGCUCUUGUAGUUGGCCCCAGGGAACUUACAAAUUUGGAACAUAGCUUUCCACAUUCAGAAAGGGCAGGUCUCUUUCCUUCAUUCAACAAAAAUAUUGACAUCUGAAAUUCCUGUUGUGGCUCAGCGGAAACGAAUUUAACUAGCAUCCAUGAGGACGCAGGUUCUAUCCCUGGCCUGGCUCAGUGGGUUAAGGAUCCAGCGUUGCCGUGAGCUGUGGUGUAGGUCGAAGACGUGGCUUGGAUCUGACAUUGCUGUGGCUGGGGCGUAGGCCUGCUGCUGCAGCUCUGAUUCAACCCUUCACCUGGGAACCUUCAUAUGCUGUGGGUGCGGCCUUAAAAAGACAAAAAAAAAAAAAAAAUUGACAUUUUAAUAAUGACAGGCACUGUACUAGGCCCUGGGAGAAGAGCAAUGAACAAACCAUACAAAAUCUCUCAAGGCCUCACAUUCUAGUAGGAGGAGGUAGAUUUUAGGCAAGAAGUGUUUUCAUGUCGGAUGGAGACAAGGGCUGUAGAGAUCUGGGAUGUAGUGUGUGAGAUGAUGGAAAGUGCUGAGAGUCAAACAGCAAGAGGAAGGGGAAGUGCUAGCAAUUUUAGGAAAGAUGUCCAAGGAAAUACUCAUGAAAGUGACACUUGAGUUAAGAUCUGAAAGAGGUAGGGAGCAAGAAUGCCAAAGUGGGGAGAUGAUGGAGCCGGUAUCAUGCUCCUUAGGAGAGAAAGGUAUUGAGAGGGAAACUUCUAACAGCCACAUGUGGGCUUCGAUGCCCUUUGAGAACUCAGGAGUUACUGUUGUCAUUAUUGCCGUUGUGUGGUUACGUAUUAGGCCGUAACUGUAAAGAAAAGUCAUUGUAUGGUUCUAAGGGGUUUGGUAACAUUUGGGCUUUAUCGUGGCUGGUAAAUUUGGGUUUCCCAUUAAUAAGGUGAUUUUCAAAUCAUAAAUACUAUUUGGUUAAUUUUAAAUGAUAAAAAAAUGAUAAAAAAUUAUUUCACUCUUUUAGAGAUUUAAAAAAAUUAUGUAAUGACCUAGAUGCUAUUCCUCUUUGGGGAGAGCAAAAAGGGUGAUUGUAAAAAAAGGUACUACAUUAUGCCUUCAUCUUUUCCUUUCCUUUAUUAUAAGCCUAUCUGGAAAGUGCACCUGUCAUUGAUUUUGGUCUCAAAAACCCUGUCUUUUUUCCAUAAUUUAAUUUAAUUUCUACACAAGUGAAGUACCUCUUAGAAUACUGUAUAUGUCAUGCAGAGAAGAGUAGAAAUAUUAAUUGCCAGUGCUUCAGUCCAAUUUGUGUGGCUCUGAGAAAUGUCAGUGAUAGGCAGCGUGUACUUCUGAUGAUAGUGAGUCAGCAGAACAGAGAGGGCUUAAAUAGCAACAACCCAAGCACAUGAGAGAAGGCACUAGGAGCAGUUGGCAGAGUCGGUAGGGUAGUGCACCAAUUAGCUUGAUAAUGUGAAGAUACUCAGAAGAGUGUAUUAUCCUAGAAAUACUAAUGGAACAAAGUAGUCUUCAAACAGGCCCUUUACAUCUUUCAGGAUGAUUUUUUUCAGCAGCACCAGGUCAUAGCCUCUGCAGUGUCAUGGUAGUAAUGGAUCUGAAUCAGCAAUCCAAGGAGAAUUUCACUUUCAAUUAAAGUUCUUGCUUGACCUUAACCUCUUACAACUCUAUUCAGAUCUAGGUGACGUAAGUUAUUUGUAUAUUUACACAAUUAGAAACUCCUUGUGGGCACCUUUUGCCUCAUAGAUGUGCAAAGUUUGCAGAGGUGAGGAAUAGCAUUGCCUCUAAAUCUAAGGUCACUCCUGGACACAGAUCAUGGCAGCAGCUGCUUCUGAGUGCCAUGUGCACAGCACCAGACACUGUAAAAGGAGCUACAGAGGUGGGUUCUUACCUAAUCUUUGGAGGGUCUUUAGGACUAAACCUUAAAGAUAAAUCUGUGACUCAGAAAAUUAAGUAGUUUAUCCAAAACUCUGUGGCUUUGGGAAUUCCUAAACUGGGGCUUUGAAUUCUCUUUCUACCAUGCUAGUUACUCUGCCCUCACAUAAUCUUGGCAGUUUUUCCUAAGAACCAAAAUAAGCAAAAGGAAAAAGAAAAAUGUUUAAAGUGCUUUGCAUGUUAUAAUCUUAGGUUAAAGCACCAAAUAAGGUCACAGGUGGAAAGAACCUUUAGUGUAGAUUGAAAAAUGAGGACUCUUUACUUUUAU